AUCCCCGUCAUAGGAGGCCCCCUUGGAGGCCUCGCGGCGGCCUUAGCACACGGUGUUAGGGCCAUCGAGGACGGGUGUAAUUAUGCAACAGGGAAUCUUCCUGGUUGCUCCUU
rfam:Hepacivirus hominis isolate HCV153 polyprotein gene, complete cds